AUGUCGCUUAAUUAAUAUUCUGUCAGAUUACUUGGGGUUCGGGUAGGUCUUAUAUAACCAUGGGGCGUCCUUAACGAGAAAAAGGUUGAGAAGUGCUGUACACGGUGGGUGGAGAGGGGACUGUCGAUGCUUUAGACAUGAAACACUACCACUGUCUCACCUCAAGUUUUGUUUUAAUCACACAAUCCUAUACCUACCAGCAUGAUCUGACAAACAUAUCUCGUCCUAGAUUCAAAGAUGUUUCCACGAUCUACGUAGUGACAGUUUAACAAAGAUUGCAUCAUCAAAGGGAAACACGUGGGAAUCAAAAUGAUCACUGAGGCUUUGAAGAGUGUGUUGAGUAGUGCGGGAUGCUCCACGUGGCAUUCAUCAACAAAGUGAUCUCAGUCAAAUUGUUAUCUUUCAUUGUCUUCACGUAAUGAACCACGGACUUUGCUCUCGUAUAUUUCGACUUGUUACCUUAUCUCUAUAGUUGCUUUCGUGGUUAUUACGAUCCGCAAGUGUUUUCGUAACUCUACUGACAAUCCGACAAGAAUUUUAUAUAAUGAAUAAGAAAAAACUAUUGAAACUAGAAAUAAACACACACACACAGACAACUCAGCAAAUUUAAGCUUGGUGCAAAUUAUGGGGCAGGGAAUACAGCACAGAGCAGGGUCAGAAAACUGCAUCUUAGUGUUUUAAAUUAAGUGCACAAGUUACCAUGCACUUUCUUAAUGAGCCCAACCUUAUGCCCCUAUUUUUUUGUAGAGUGCUUGUUCAUUGAUCUAAGACUGUGUUGAUGCAGACAGGAUUUUUUAAGUAGGACUCAUUCCAUCCCAUUGGUGGCAUCUCUGAUGCACACAGAUGAAGCAAGGUUGAUAACAACAGUGUGAUAUUAGUAUUACUUCUUCAGGGUAAUGAUUCAGCUCAUACUAUAAGUAUUACCCCAUCAUAAUAAUAUAUCAUUGUAAUAUAUUAUUACAAAUCCUUGUGCUUUAUUGUUCAUGCUUUCAGGUGUGUGCCUUGCUACAUAACAUAUGCAAGGACAGGAACAUCCCUGAACCAGAUGCAGAAGGGGACAUUGGUGAGGGAAUUGAUGGUGACCCUGACCCACCUGCCCCACAGCCACCUGUAGGUGCACGUCCCCUUGAAGGCCUCCUCUACAGGGAUGAAUAUGUCAACCUUUACUUCCAAGAUGAUGCUGAACCUAACCCACAUGUUGGUGCCUAACUAGUACCACCCUGUACUUCAGGCAGCAUUAACACUCAGUACUGUUAAUGGUCUGUCUAUCUUUGUGUCUCAUCGCUUUAUGUCUUAGCUGGUUGGCCACUUCAUCAUCCACCAAGAGGGUGGACGUCUUGACAGCAGCAGGAGGUGCUGCUGUGUUGGGUGUUGGAAGUGCCGUGGUAGCAUUUCUAUCUGUAUUAUGACCAAUGACAAUAAAUAUUAGUGAAACCAUCACAAGCAUAUUUAUUGCAGAUCUACCUAUCUAUGUAAGAGGUGAACAACCCUCUCAAGGAGGAAGGUACCCAAGACAAGGCAACCUCCCCUCUCCCUGCCCCCACACAGUGUGAGUGUAUAUGGUGCCUAUGUGCAUGUGUGGUUCUCUCAUUUUGGCUAUCCUCCUCCUGGAGUAGGGUGUUCAAUCAAUCAAUCAAAAAUGGGGGGCAUACGCCAUGGGACGUCACCUCACCUAGUAGGGUGUUGGCUUUGUCUAUACAUAGACAGUGUUUUCAUGUCCCUGCACUUCAGUUUUAAAAAUAUUUUGUAUGCUGUAAUUGAUAUUUUCAGCAAGAAAAUAAAGUACUGUUACUGUGUUGCCAUAAACACACCUUCCAUAAUUGAAUAUCAACAUUGGAAAUUCUUCAAAUCAACAAGACCCAUCUAUUUCAUUGGGUUAAGUUAUAUAUUUUACUGAAGUAAUAUUUUGUUAGUUUGGGGUUAAAGUCAGGCAUGUUUAAGCUGGCAUAAGUUGUACUUUACAUCUGGAAGCAUUGAAUAUAAUAAAUGGAUAGUUUGUUGCCUGUGUUUCUCCAAAGUUAAGCAGAAUAUUUAUAAAGAAAGGCAGGUGGAGCUAUGGAGUGUUGGAGGGAGAGUGAAUGUGAGGUAUAGGAGGGUAUGAGAGAAGUGGUGUGGUGUGCGGCAAAUGAGAAAAGCAAAGAAGUGGAUAAAAAAGGGUGUGCUCCCUUAAUGUCUCCUAUGAUGUGGGAAGAUAUACAAGACUGGAAUGGUUAACUUUCCAAACACAAGAUGAUCCAUGUGUGUAUGGAAUGAUUAACGAACUCAAAUUCUGCAUUCUCAUUUUUCAUUGGGGAGAACCAGUGACAGCAACAGUGUCCUCCCCAAGGGUGUCAAGCAAGCACCAUCUUGAUAUCGAUCAAGAGGCUUGGGAGGUGGACUGCCUCCUAGAUCAAAUAGACCCAUUAGGAAAGUGGUCACUAAUGUUCAAUGCUUCACUACUGGCUUUCAUAAAGGAUAGCAAUGUAGGCUUUCCUAUCCAAGGGGAAAAAAAUCAAUAAUGCCUUGCAGGCUUGCUGCCUUAUUGUGCUUGUCUAAAGUUUUCUUUUUACUUGAGUACCUUAUAUAGGUUUGUGCAAGAAAAGCCAGUUUUACUUUACAAGUGCACAGGAAUAUCCCACCUCUAUUUUUCCAUUACAGAUUGAUGCAUCUCAUUAUUGUGAAUAUUUCCAUCCCUAGACACACCUAUAAAUUAAUAUCAACAAAGGAAAUUAUUCUUGAAAUCAGUGUAUUCUAAGUAGUUACAUUGUUAGUUUAAGUUAGGUUACUUAAGUUAGGUUGCUAGAUUGAAGUUACUGAUAUGCAGCAGCAAUUAUGAUCAGUCAUUAAAAAUAUCAAACUAUAGGAAAUAUGAUAUCUUGGCAUCACCUGGAAAGAUGUCCAUGUGUUGUGUGUGCGCUCCGUUUUUGGCUGUGGUUUUUAUAGUUAGCGAGUGG
rnacentral:lncRNA from 1 species